CGAACGCUGGCGGCGUGCUUAACACAUGCAAGUCGAACGCGAAAGGGACUUCGGUCCUGAGUAAAGUGGCGGCACGGGUGAGUAACGCGUAGAUAACCUGUCUUCAUGUCUGGAAUAAUACGCCGAAAGGGGUACUAAUACCGGAUAUUCUUGCUUUUCAUAAGUUAUGCAAGCAAAGGUGGCCUCUGCAUAUGCUACUGCAUGAAGAGGGGUCUGCGUACCAUUAGCUAGUAGGUGGGGUAAUGGCCUACCUAGGCGACGAUGGUUAGCGGGUCUGAGAGGAUGAUCCGCCACACUGGCACUGGAACACGGGCCAGACUCCUACGGGAGGCAGCAGUGAGGAAUAUUGCGCAAUGGGGGAAACCCUGACGCAGCGACGCCGCGUGAGUGAGGAAAGGCCUUCGGGUCGUAAAGCUCUGUCAAGAGGAAAGAAGUGUACAAUGGCUAAUACCUGUUGUAUUUGACGGUACCUCUAAAGGAAGCACCGGCUAACUCCGUGCCAGCAGCAGC
rnacentral:rRNA from 1 species